rnacentral:rRNA from 1 species
GGCGCACGGGUGCGUAACGCGUGGGAACCUGCCUUUAGGUUCGGAAUAACUCAGAGAAAUUUGAGCUAAUACCGGAUGAUGUCUUCGGACCAAAGAUUUAUCGCCUUUAGAUGGGCCCGCGUUAGAUUAGAUAGUUGGUGGGGUAAUGGCCUACCAAGUCGACGAUCUAUAGCUGGUCUGAGAGGAUGAUCAGCCACACUGGGACUGAGACACGGCCCAGACUCCUACGGGAGGCAGCAGUGGGGAAUAUUGGACAAUGGGCGAAAGCCUGAUCCAGCAAUGCCGCGUGAGUGAUGAAGGCCUUAGGGUUGUAAAGCUCUUUUACCAGGGAUGAUAAUGACAGUACCUGGAGAAUAAGCUCCGGCUAACUCCGUGCCAGCAGCCGCGGUAAUACGGAGGGAGCUAGCGUUGUUCGGAAUUACUGGGCGUAAAGCGCGCGUAGGCGGCUUUUCAAGUCAGGGGUGAAAUCCCGGGGCUCAACCCCGGAACUGCCCUUGAAACUGGAUGGCUAGAAUACUGGAGAGGUGAGUGGAAUUCCGAGUGUAGAGGUGAAAUUCGUAGAUAUUCGGAAGAACACCAGUGGCGAAGGCGACUCACUG